UAUGUGAUCGUCUCUCGCAUAUCAAUAAGCGGAGGAAAAGAAACUAACAAGGAUUCCCCUAGUAACGGCGAGUGAAGCGGGAAGAGCUCAAAUUUGAAAUCUUAAAGGGUUUCCCUUUACGAAUUGUAGUUUAAAGAAGUGUUUUCUGUUGAGGUUUUGGUAAAAGUUCUUUGGAAUAGGACAUCAUAGAGGGCUGAGAAUCCCGUAUUUGACCUUUACUUUCAACUUUGUGAUACACUUUCAAAGAGUCGGAUUGUUUGGGAAUGCAGUCCAAAAUGGGUGGUAAAUUUCAUCUAAAGCUAAAUAUUGGCGAGAGACCGAUAGCGAACAAGUACCGUGAGGGAAAGAUGAAAAGAACUUUGAAAAGAGGAGUUAAACAGUACGUGAAAUUGUCAAAAGGGAAGCGUUUGACACCAGUGUUGUUUUUCUGAAAAUCAAUUAAAGAACUGUUUAUGCUAAGUUGUUUAGACUUUAUCAGCUAACUGUUUAGUUUUGAGCUUUUCUUUAAUGCACUUUUCAGUUAACAAGUCAACAUCAAUUUCUUUUGCUGUAAAAAAGCUUGAGGAAGGUGGCUUGAGAUUCGUCUUAAGUGUUUAUAGCCUCUUGCCUAUGCAGUCGGAGAGAUUGAGGUCUGCAGCGUAGAUCCUUCGGGGCUAAAUGCAUUUGUGCUAAGUUAUAGCAUUUUAUAGACAACUUGUUGACUAUGAUUUGUCUUGUAGCUUACUCGCUUAUGUUAUUUUACCUACGCUUAGGAUGUUGAAGACUCUACAGAGAU
rnacentral:rRNA from 1 species